rnacentral:lncRNA from 1 species
CGGGUUGCCAUACUUUAGAAAAUUAACAAAAUAUGUAUGUGAUAUGUCUUGUACAAUUACUUCUUUUAUAUUAAAUAUAUCUCAAAAAUACAUAUGCAUCUGUAUAGAAUAAACAUCAAAUAUCAAAAAUUAACUUACAUAUUGAUCUGCCAGCAUAGGAUGACCAAGUUCUAUGAAGAUUUAAAACAUUUGUCACCUUGUUGUGGUACACAACAUCUAUGAGUAUACACAGGAAACAGGAAAUAAACUCUUUAAAGUGAAAGUGAAAGUACUCUUUAAAAUGAAACUACAGGUAAUUAUAAAAAUAAAUGUAAAGGUAAAUUUA